GUAGAACUGUCUGUUUGUAUCCCUUAGAUUCAUGUAUGUUGUAAUUGUUUGCUACAGGAAAUAAAAGAGGGUUAUUUAUAUAUAGAACAAAAGAAUGUGCUGCUACCAAGAGUCAUGAAUGUAUGGAUGAGGGAAGAUACCAUUCAUGAAAGUAGAGGUUAAUCUAAUUCGCUCCUGAUUAAAUAAGCCAAAAUCACCCCUGAUUAUUCACUAAUCUAAUUUGAGGUACAGUAUUAUUGGCAGACAUAAUGUGAAUCCAUGUUUUCAUUUCCCCUUAGAUUCAUGUCUGUUGUAAUUGUUUUCUACACGAAAUAAAAGAGGGUUAUUUAUAUAUAGAACAAAAGAAUGUGCUGCUACCAAGAGUCAUGAAUGUAUCUGGAUGAGGGUAGAUACCAUUCAUGAAAGUAGAGG
rnacentral:lncRNA from 1 species